rnacentral:rRNA from 1 species
AGAGUUUGAUCAUGGCUCAGAAUGAACGCUGGCGGCGCGCCUAAUACAUGCAAGUCGAGCGAGAAGACGUAGCAAUACGUUUGUAAAGCGGCGAACGGGUGAGGAAUACAUGGGUAACCUACCCUAGAGUGGGGAAUAACUAGCCGAAAGGUUAGCUAAUACCGCGUACGCUUCUUGGACUUCGGUUCAGGGAGGAAAGCGCUACCGAGGGUAGCGCGCUCUUGGAUGGGCUCAUGUCCUAUCAGCUUGUUGGUGAGGUAACGGCUCACCAAGGCUUCGACGGGUAGCUGGUCUGAGAGGACGAUCAGCCACACUGGCACUGCGACACGGGCCAGACUCCUACGGGAGGCAGCAGUAAGGAAUAUUGCGCAAUGGGCGAAAGCCUGACGCAGCGACGCCGCGUGGGGGAUGAAGGUCUUCGGAUUGUAAACCCCUUUCGGGAGGGAAGAUGGAAUGGGGUAACCCAUUCGGACGGUACCUCCAGAAGCAGCCACGGCUAACUUCGUGCCAGCAGCCGCGGUAAUACGAAGGUGGCAAGCGUUAUUCGGAUUUACUGGGCGUACAGGGAGCGUAGGCGGUUUGGUAAGCCCUCUGUGAAAUCUCCAGGCUUAACCUGGAAAAGUCGGAGGGGACUGCUGGGCUAGAGGACGGGAGAGGAGCGCGGAAUUCCCGGUGUAGCGGUGAAAUGCGUAGAGAUCGGGAGGAAGGCCGGUGGCGAAGGCGGCG